GAUCAUGGCUCAGGAUGAACGCUGGCGGCGUGCUUAACACAUGCAAGUCGAACGAAGCACUUGAGAUUGAUUCUUCGGAAGAUUUCUCUUGUGACUUAGUGGCGGACGGGUGAGUAACGCGUGGGUAACCUGCCUCGCACAGGGGGAUAACAGUUGGAAACGACCGCUAAUACCGCAUAACCCGCUAGGGCCGCAUGGCCCGGACGGAAAAGAUUUAUCGGUGUGAGAUGGACCCGNGUUGGAUUAG
rnacentral:rRNA from 1 species